CCCGCAAGUAGAAUCUUCCACUAUGGAAGAAACAAGAAAAACAAUUAAAACAGAAAUAAGUAUUUCACUUUUUUUUCAUAUUUUUUUUUUGAAGUUAGAGAAGAGAUGGAUGUGUGAAUGAUAAAUUUGUCAUUAAAGUCGAUUUAUAUUGCAAUGAGUUGUACCGGAGGUUCACUUCUUCCAAAAUAGACAUGCACUGAAUUGGUGUACAAAUUCAGUGGUGAAGUUAAGAGAGAAAGAUAACAUGAUUAGAUGAAAAAAUGUGAGAAAAAAUGUAGCAUCCAUAAGUUAAGCUAAAAAAAAAGCUACUUGUCGUAACAGUGCUUUCGCAUUACAUAAGUCUCAUGUUAUUGGUCAGAGAGCAUCCAUCAAGUUAAGCUAAAAAAGCUACUUGUCCUCAAUUCAUUCUAUUAACUCAAGUAGCUGAUGUCAUGGGGUCAGAUACCAAUUCCAUUAAUUUUUUACAUUACCCGUUACAAAUCAUAUUUAUU
rnacentral:lncRNA from 1 species